rnacentral:lncRNA from 1 species
CAACCCGCUCCAGGGACAGUGCCAGGUGGAGAGUUUAACUGGGGCAGUACACUGUCAAACAGUAACGCAAGUGUCCUAAGGUGAGCUCAGGGAGCACAGAAACCUCCAGUGGAACAGAAGGGCAAAAGCUCAUUUGAUCCUGAUUUUCAGUAUGAAUACAGACCGUGAAAACAGGGCUUCACAAUCCUUCAGACCUUUUGGGCUUUAAGCAGG